UAUCCCGUAUCAGUAAACUCGCAAAUACGCAGCGGAAUGAUAUAUUGAUGUCCUCCUGAAAUCACUGUGUAACCGCUGAGCCGACCAGACGUGAGUACUAGCGAUUACAACGUUACCCGACAACACUAACCUUGCGAUUGCAGCGUCUUAUAGGGUUACCCGAUUAUUACCGAGCCGUCUAGAAAUUGCCCAGUGAGUUAUACAUCUAUCUA